AACGAACGCUGGCGGCGCGCCUAAUACAUGCAAGUCGAGCGAGAAGACGUAGCAAUACGUUUGUAAAGCGGCGAACGGGUGAGGAAUACAUGGGUAACCUACCCUCGAGUGGGGAAUAACUAGCCGAAAGGUUAGCUAAUACCGCGUACGCUCCUUGGACUUCGGUUCAGGGAGGAAAGCGAUACCGUGGGUAUCGCGCUCUUGGAUGGGCUCAUGUCCUAUCAGCUUGUUGGUGAGGUAACGGCUCACCAAGGCUUCGACGGGUAGCUGGUCUGAGAGGACGAUCAGCCACACUGGCACUGCGACACGGGCCAGACUCCUACGGGAGGCAGCAGUAAGGAAUAUUGCGCAAUGGGCGAAAGCCUGACGCAGCGACGCCGCGUGGGGGAUGAAGGUCUUCGGAUUGUAAACCCCUUUCGGGAGGGAAGAUGGAACGAGCAAUCGUUCGGACGGUACCUCCAGAAGCAGCCACGGCUAACUUCGUGCCAGCAGCCGC
rnacentral:rRNA from 1 species